AACAAGGUUUCGUAGGUGAACCUGCGGAAGGAUCAUU
rnacentral:rRNA from 1 species